UCUUUCCCUUCGAUGCAACAUCCGUAAAGCUUCACCAAAUUCGGAUGCUGAAGAGCGGAUAUCAUUCCAAUCUCGAUAACACACCCUGAGGAUUGACAAAAGCUGUCAUGUUAAGACAUGUCUUUGACAUUGAUCUGGUCUCAGAAUCACAGAACAGUUAAACUCGAGAUCGAGUCCACGGAGCUCUGGAACUGGAAGACGAUGUAAAAAGAUAAUUAUCAGAUAAGUUCCAGACAACUGGGAACUGAACUGGACAAGAAUGUUUCAAGAACGAGGGAAGAUCUUUACCGUUGUCAUAUGAUUCUUUUCCGCCUAAGUAACCUUUCCGCCUGAGGAUAAU